GAUGAACGCUGGCGGCGUGCUUAACACAUGCAAGUCGAACGGAAAGGCCCAAGCUUGCUUGGGUACUCGAGUGGCGAACGGGUGAGUAACACGUGGGUGAUCUGCCCUGCACUUCGGGAUAAGCCUGGGAAACUGGGUCUAAUACCGGAUAGGACCACUUCUUGGAUGUUGUGGUGGAAAGUUUUUUCGGUGUGGGAUGAGCUCGCGGCCUAUCAGCUUGUUGGUGGGGUAAUGGCCUACCAAGGCGUCGACGGGUAGCCGGCCUGAGAGGGUGUACGGCCACAUUGGGACUGAGAUACGGCCCAGACUCCUACGGGAGGCAGCAGUGGGAAUAUUGCACAAUGGGCGCAAGCCUGAUGCAGCGACGCCGCGUGGGGGAUGACGGCCUUCGGGUUGUAAACUCCUUUCGCUAGGGACGAAGCGUUUUGUGACGGUACCUGGAGAAGAAGCACCGGCUAACUACGUG
rnacentral:rRNA from 1 species